AAAUUGAAAACUUUCCAAAAAUAGCAGUUUUUAAGAAAAUUAUUUAAAAAUACUAUAUACUGAUGAAAAAUUCUGAAAGAAUACUCAUCUAUCCACAAAUAUUUUUGUUAUCAUAAUUUGUAAAUCACAAACCCAAAUCUACAAUAUUACUCAAAAAAAUGAAAACUUUCCAAAAAUAGCAGCUUUUAAGAAAAUUAUUUAAAAAUACAAUAUAUUGAUGAAAAAUUCUGAAAGAAUAUUCAUCUAUCCAUAAAUAUUCUUGUUGUUCUAAUUUCUAAAUCACAAACCCAAAUCAACAAUAUUUCUCAAAAAAAUUGAAAACUUUCUAAAAAUAGUAGUUUUUAAGAAAAUUAUUUUAAAAUACAAUAUAUUGAUGAAAAUUCUGAACAAUACUCAUCUAACCUAAAAUAAUCUUGUUAUCCUAAUUUCUAAAUCACAAACCCAAAUUUAGAGUAUUUCUCAAAAAAUUGAAAACUUUCCAAAAUAGCAGUUUUUAAGAAGAUUAUUUAAAAAUACUAUAUACUGAUGAAAAAUUCUGAAAGAAUACUCAUUUAUCCACAAAUAAUUUUCUUAUCAUAAUUUCUAAAUCACAAACUCAAAUCUAGAAUAUUACUCAAAAAAUAAAAACUUUCCGAAAAUAGCAGCAUUUAAGAAAAUUAUUAAAAAUACAAUAUACUGAUGAAAAACUCUGAAAGAAUACUCAUCUAUUCUAAAAUAUUCUUGUUAUCCUAAUUUCUAAAUCACAAACCCAAAUGUACAGCAUUUCUCAAAAAAAUUGGAAACUUUCCAAAAUCAGCAGUUUUUAAGAAAAUUAUUUAAAAAUACUAUAUACUGAUGAAAAAUUCUGAAACAAUACUCAUCUAUCCUAAAAUAUUCUUGUUAUUCUAAUUUCUAAAUCACAAACCCAAAUCUACAGUAUUUUUUGGAAAAUUGAAAACUUUCCAAAAAUAGCAGUUUUUAAGAAAAUUAUUUACAAAUACUAUAUACUGAUGAAAAAUUCUGAAAGAAUUCUCAUCUAUCCUAAAAUAUUAUUGUUAUCCUAAUUUUAAAUCACAAACCCAAAUGUACAGUAUUUUGUCAAAAAAUUGGAAACUUUCCAAAAAUAGAAGUUUUUAAUAAAAUUAUUUAAAAAUACUAUAUACUGAUGAAAAAUUCAGAAACAAUACUCAUCUAUCCUAAAAUAUUCUUGUUAUCCUAAUUUGUAAAUCACAAACCCAAAUCUACAGUAUUUCUCAAAAAAUUGAAAACUUUAAAAAAAUAGCAGUUUUUAAAAAAAUUAUUCUAAAAUACAAUGUAUCGAUGAAAAAUUCUGAAACAGUACUCAUCUAACCUAAAAUAAUCUUGUUAUCCUAAUUUCUAAAUCACAAACCCAAAUUUACAGUAUUUUUCAAAAAAUUGAAAACUUUCCAAAAUAGCAGUUUUUAAGAAGAUUAUUUAAAAAUACUAUAUACUGAUGAAAAAUUCUGAAAGAAUAGUCUUCUAUCGUAAAAUAUUAUUGUUAUCCUAAUUUCUAAAUCAAAAACCAAAAUCUACAGUAUUUCUUGGAAAAUUGAAAACUUUCCAAAAAUAGCAGUUUUUAAGAAAAUUAUUUAAAAAUACUAUAUAUUG
rnacentral:lncRNA from 1 species